GGCGAUUGGGCGUUUGAUCAUGGCUCAGAACGAACGCUGGCGGCAUGCCUAACACAUGCAAGUCGAACGCCUGUAGCAAUACAGGAGUGGCGGACGGGUGAGUAACGCGUGGGAACCUGCCCAACAGUACGGAAUAACCAAGGGAAACUUUGGCUAAUACCGCAUACGCCCUUCGGGGGAAAGAUUUAUCGCUGAUGGAUGGGCCCGCGUCGGAUUAGCUAGUUGGUGGGGUAACGGCCUACCAAGGCUACGAUCCGUAGCUGGUCUGAGAGGACGACCAGCCACACUGGGACUGAGACACGGCCCAGACUCCUACGGGAGGCAGCAGUGGGGAAUAUUGGACAAUGGGCGCAAGCCUGAUCCAGCCAUGCCGCGUGAGUGAUGAAGGCCCUAGGGUUGUAAAGCUCUUUUGUGCGGGAAGAUAAUGACGGUACCGCAAGAAUAAGCCCCGGCUAACUUCGUGCCAGCAGCCGCGGUAAUAG
rnacentral:rRNA from 1 species